UACGUAGGGUGCAAGCGUUGUCCGGAAUCAUUGGGCGUAAAGCGCGCGUAGGUGGCUUCGUAAGUCCGUUGUGAAAGUCAAAGGCUCAACCUUUGAAUGCCGAUGGAUACUGCGAAGCUAGAGUACGGAAGAGGCGAGUGGAAUUCCUGGUGUAGCGGUGGAAUGCGCAGAUAUCAGGAGGAACACCAAUAGCGAAGGCAGCUCGCUGGGACGUUACUGACGCUAAGGCGCGAAAGCGUGGGGAGCGAACAGG
rnacentral:rRNA from 1 species